CCUACGGGCGGCAGCAGUGAGGAAUAUUGGUCAAUGGACGAGAGUCUGAACCAGCCAAGUCGCGUGAAGGAUGACUGCCCUAUGGGUUGUAAACUUCUUUUAUAAAGAAAUAAAACGAGGCACGUGUGCCUUUUUGCAUGGACUUUAUGAAUAAGGCUCGGAUAAAUCCGUGCCAGCAGCCGCGGUAAUACGGAGGAUCCGAGCGUUAUCCGGAUUUAGUGGGUUUAAAGGGAGCGUAGAUGGGUUGUUAAGUCAGUUGGGAAAGUUUGCGGCUUAACCGUAAAAUUGCAAUUGAUACUGGCAGUCUUGAGUACAGUUGAGGUAGGCGGAAUUCGUGGUGUAGCGGUGAAAUGCUUAGAUAUCACGAAGAACCCCGAUUGCGAAGGCAGCUUACUAAACUGUGACUGACGUUGAGGCUCGAAAGUGUGGGUAUCAAACAGGAUUAGAUACCCCUGUAGUC
rnacentral:rRNA from 1 species